CCUGGGCAAUAUGGUAUAGCGUAUUGCUCCUAGGCUGCCAACCUGCACAGCAUGUUAUUGUACUGAACAAUGUAGGCAAUGUAACGCAAUGAUAUUUGUGUAUCUAAACAUACCUAAAUGCAGAAAUGCUGCAGUAGAUAUACAACAUAAAAGAUUGUUUUUAAGUCCACCUGUAGAAGGCACUUACCAUGAAUUGAACUUGCAGGCUUGGAAAUAUCUCUGGGUUCUGCUUGAAUUCUUGCCCUGGCUCUUGGUGAAGGAUCGGCCUGCUGGAUCUGAGUCAUCCACCUAUAAGAGGGACAACACCACACAUUGGUCGCUGCUCUCAAGCCCCUGGAAUACCACCCCACUUGGCUUCUCCUGGUAACAGUGGCUGCCUUUGCUUGCCUGUCUCCAACUCCUCCCAAGAGCAUUGCUGACUAUACCACCCACAUAAACAAAAACUUUUUGGGAGUCCUCCAGAAUUUUUAAGAGUUAUCUAAACUAUUGCCUUUAAUGACCAGGAA
rnacentral:lncRNA from 1 species